rnacentral:snRNA from 1 species
AUCACUUCUCGGCCUUUUGGCUCAGAUCAAGUGUGGUAUCUGAAAAUUGAGGAAACAUAAACAAAUCCAAAGUUGAAGUCAAUUCUAUAAAAUAACUAACCUAU